CUUGCUUCUCUUGAGAGCGGCGGACGGGUGAGUAAUGCCUAGGAAUCUGCCUGGUAGUGGGGGAUAACGUUCGGAAACGGACGCUAAUACCGCAUACGUCCUACGGGAGAAAGCAGGGGACCUUCGGGCCUUGCGCUAUCAGAUGAGCCUAGGUCGGAUUAGCUAGUUGGUGGGGUAAUGGCUCACCAAGGCGACGAUCCGUAACUGGUCUGAGAGGAUGAUCAGUCACACUGGAACUGAGACACGGUCCAGACUCCUACGGGAGGCAGCAGUGGGGAAUAUUGGACAAUGGGCGAAAGCCUGAUCCAGCCAUGCCGCGUGUGUGAAGAAGGUCUUCGGAUUGUAAAGCACUUUAAGUUGGGAGGAAGGGUUGUAGAUUAAUACUCUGCAAUUUUGACGUUACCGACAGAAUAAGCACCGGCUAACUCUGUGCCAGCAGCCGCGGUAAUACAGAGGGUGCAAGCGUUAAUCGGAAUUACUGGGCGUAAAGCGCGCGUAGGUGGUUUGUUAAGUUGGAUGUGAAAUCCCCGGGCUCAACCUGGGAACUGCAUUCAAAACUGACUGACUAGAGUAUGGUAGAGGGUGGUGGAAUUUCCUGUGUAGCGGUGAAAUGCGUAGAUAUAGGAAGGAACACCAGUGGCGAAAGCGACCACCUGGACUAAUACUGACACUGAGGUGCGAAAGCGUGGGGAGCAAACAGGAUUAGAUACCCUGGUAGUCCACGCCGUAAACGAUGUCAACUAGCCGUUGGAAGCCUUUGAGCUUU
rnacentral:rRNA from 1 species